GGGAUUGCCUCAGUAACGGCGAGUGAAGCGGCAACAGCUCAAAUUUGAAAUCUGGCCCCUUCGGGGCCCGAGUUGUAAUUUGUAGAGAGUGUUUCGGGUGAGACCACGGUCUAAGUCCAUUGGAACAUGGCGUCAUAGAGGGUGAGAAUCCCGUAUGUGACCGUGGAUCGAGCCCAUGUGAAGCCUCUUCAACGAGUCGAGUUGUUUGGGAAUGCAGCUCAAAAUGGGUGGUAAAUUUCAUCUAAAGCUAAAUACUGGCUGGAGACCGAUAGCGCACAAGUAGAGUGAUCGAAAGAUGAAAAGCACUUUGGAAAGAGAGUCAAACAGUACGUGAAAUUGUUGAAAGGGAAGCGCUUGCAACCAGACCUGUCCGUAGGUGAUCAGCCGCUGUUUUCAGCGGUGCACUCGCUCUGCGAUCAGGCCAGCAUCGGUUUCGGCGGUCGGAUAAAGGCCUUGGGAAUGUAGCUUCCCUUCGGGGGAGUCUUAUAGCCCUCGGUGCCAUGCGGCCAGCCGGGACCGAGGACCGCGCUUCGGCUAGGAUGCUGGCGUAAUGGUUGUAA
rnacentral:rRNA from 1 species